AAAGGGGAAUUCAUUUGAAUCUGAUAUGUCGAAUGGCCUUUAGAAGCUGUUUGGCUACAUGCAGGGAUUUGUAAAUCCAGAUUUAGUACAUUUUGAGAGGAUUAAAAAUUGAAAUUAUUCGACCUGAUACCUGUUAAAUGCCCGUAAAUCUUGACAAAUUAUUAAUUUUUAAGGGAUUUAAUUAACUUUUGUGAGAGAAGAAAUUUUUUAAUCCAUUAUAUCCUUUGCAUGAUGGGAUUUAGUAAAUUCUAAGUUUUAUCAAUAACGGAAAUAACAGAACUAAAAUGGAUUUAUACAAAUAAGAGGAUUUGAAGUUUUCAAAAUUCUGCUUGGUAGAAUUUACGCUAAAUCUUGCCUAGAAUGGGAUACCGACAACCUCCCUGAGAAGUAUAUGUUGCUGCCUUUUAUAGAUUUUGCUUUGCUACAGCUCCACUACAGAAAAUAUUUAAUUUUGUCCUGUUCGAUUUACUGCCAAGCGCUUUUGAGUGCAGUCUACAUCCAUCGAAUUUACUUUAUUUCUAUUCACUCUAUAAUGUACUCUGAUUUACUAUUCUAUCAUUGGAUACGAACAUCUCUUACCCUGUUUUCGUGAAUAUCAAUUUCUAUUUAUUGUCUUUGUUAGUUGAUCUUUUGUUCUAUGGAGAAGUUAAAAUUCGGGAUCUCCUACAUAUGCCAACUAUCAUAUUUCUUGGGUAUAAAAAAACAUGAACAACAUAUGAAUCAUGCUCUCUCUAAUAAUCCCUUUGCUAAGCAAUCAAUUAAUUUUCCUUUCAAGUUUAACAUCUUAAAUUGAAUUCAUCUUGUAAUGUGGAAAGUUAGGCAAUGAUGAUUUAAAAAUUAAAUUAAUAACAUAUUUUAUUUUCUUAAGUGGUGAUAAUUCAUCAGGAUGAUCGUUAUGCGUUAUUUCUUUGCAAUCAAACAACACUUGAUUUUCAAUACAUUUCUACCUAUUUUGUUCUUGAAUCUAUUCUAGAUGAUGAAGUAUAGUGAAUAUGAAGUAUCUUAUAAUCACAUGUGAUGAUUCAUUUGUUAUUCUAUAGGAAAUGCAAUACCCAUGCCCAGCAUGAUAAAUGUCAAUGAAAAUUAGCUUAAUUUUUUAAACCGAGCAAAUAAUGCUGAACUUUGUUUCAAUAAUGGUUAUGAAUGGUGUUGUUUUGGUUGAAAUAUAUUUACUAAGAUAAUUGGAUAUGGGGUUUAUAUCCCACUGGAAUAAUUAGAUUUGAAAUUUUCUAUUUUGGAGCUAUCGUUUCUAGUGUAGCGUUGUUUGGGGAUCAAUUCUAUAGUUGGUUUUGGAUUUAAUGGGCUUAAGUGAUGUGUUAACCUUCAUACUUCUUGCCUAUAUGACUUCUGUAGCAAGUUAGUCGUUCGAAUACAUGUUUAUCUUUUGCCGCUAUGAUCAAAAUUCCUUAGGCAAUGCUUAUUUUCUGAUUCAACAGCAUUUAUACAAAGCCCAUAUUCUCACUAUGCAGCGGAUUUUAGGCUUGAUGGUUUACUUGAUGCUGGUGAAUUAAAAAUAAGAGUCAUCUAAAGGAAGAUUUUACUUGAUGAAAAAAUUUUAUUUAUUUCAAUAAUGAAUGUUUUGUUGGAUAUUGAUGUCUUCAAGCGCAAUGCGAGAGUGAUUGUCAUUUCAAGGGAAAGUCAUCUUUUUGUAUUGGCAUGAGACCUUUGUGAAUUCUUUUCUUGUUCUCUUUUCUUCUAAAUAAUUAUUUUCUGAUAUUUGCAAGCGUCAUGAAUUAUUCAAGUUUGUUACAAUUAGUUUUUUUUUUCAAUGUGAUUUUUAAUCAACUUGUGGGUUUUGAUAUAUUUGUUUGAUUUAAUAGUUUAUUUAAUGAUUAUUUGGCAUGAAUUUUUCAUAUUUUCUUGAUUGCAUCAAAUUUUCAUGAAUAAUUAUUAAUCGGUGGUCAUUUGAACCACAAAUUUCCAAUCGGACUUGUGCCUUGUAAUACAUCACAUCAUCUUGUUGGAUUGAGAAAACUAAGAUGUCUAGAAUCACUUUUUGUUACAAACAAUUUGCAAAAUUAGCUAAAUUACAGUCAACUUGGUUUUAUUUAAUUGUAAUUUAGUGUGAAAUUCAAUUGUAUUUGAAGUAUUUCCGAUGAACGGGCUAAUCAAUACGACUAUUUGGUGGGUUGGUGGAACUAUCGGUUUGCAAUCGAUGCAUUGUAUUUGGUCCUUGCUUGAGAAAAAGUGGUUUGAAUCUAUUUUUUCUUGCAGUAGUUUUUUAUUUCUGUAUAGCACCAAAACUGAAUACAUUUAAUUUUCUUCUGUACAACUUACUACAAAUCAACUGUUGAAUAGAGACUACAUCCAUCGAAUUUGUUUCUAGUUCUGUUGACUGCAUGUACCCUGAUUACUAUUGUCAAUAGAGAUGAGCAUCUUUUGCUUAGUUUUCCUUGGUAUUAGUUAAAUUAUUCGAUGUAGUUCUGAAGCGACUCUUUUUUUUGCACAGUAUUGAGCAUAAUAUUCUAGUAUGAAAGAAAAAUUCUAGGAGAAGUUGAGGACUUAUCAUUUCUUAAAGACUUUGGUUUUCUUUUGUUUAAAUUCGUUUCUAGGAAUUGUAAUAAGUUAGCUGAUUGUUGUGCUAACUUGGCCUUAGAUGGAGACUUCUUCUGGGAUGCCUUAGAUUUCAAUAAGCUUCCUCCAUUUUUUUGAAUUACUCAAGGAGGAGAGUGAUAGGGGUCUAGUUUACAUUGCAACAAUAUUACUUCACACCUAACAAGCCCUGGAUGAGGCAUUCUCAAGCAAUUUAUUCAAGCAAUUUAGAUGCACAUGUAAAAAUGAUUAUGCAUCUUAGUUGUUAUCCACAGACUUUGCUAUAUGAGCCAAUUUUCACUGAAUCCUUCAAUCAAAAUUGACAAGGACUUGUCGAUGGAUCAAAUGAAUAUUGCUAAAUCUUGGUUGAAGUAGUAUGGCAUUUACGAGUUAGGAUGGAAGCCACUCUCAUCAUUUUUGCUUGCUACAUCAAGUCAUCCCGUCAAAAGAUGGUGGAAUGUCUAAGCUCUUACUGUUGCCCAAAACCUCCUUAGAACCAGCCUUCAUCAUGGGCUGGAAAAUUUGGAUGGCAGAGUUGCACCACGUCUGUGAAAGCAAGUCCAAUGGCUCCAACGAUGUUGCGUUGCUGUUGAAGUCCAUGAAAACUUGGCUAUCUUUGUUUCAAGAACUGCAGAAAUGGCAGGACAAAGUAAAUAUUUAUGUUCAGCGACUUAAGGUGGAGAAUGAGCACCUGUGAUGGGUUCACAGCUGGUGAGGUUCAUUUGAACCACCUAAUUACUGAAUAAUAUAUGAAGGAGAUGGAUCAAGAGGACCCACCAUGGCCACAAAAGCUGCACCUUGCUAAGUUAGGGGUCUUGUUGGAGAUCAUUAAGGUAAGGAAAGAGUUACUCUUAGUGUAACCACAUAUAUUUUUUUAAUAUUAGACGUCACAAAGAGUUGGUAGCAUAGUUUUUAUGCCUUUUGUUUUCAAAAGAGAGGAAUACUUAAAGCAGAGUUUUUUUGGUGAGAAACUUUCAUAGGUUCAUAAUGAGCAAGCGAAUUUAAGCAAACUUGUUUACAAAGUUUUGCUUCUAAAAUUCUGAAGAUA